rnacentral:rRNA from 1 species
AUUGAACGCUGGCGGCAUGCCUUACACAUGCAAGUCGAACGGUAACGCGGGGCAACCUGGCGACGAGUGGCGAACGGGUGAGUAAUAUAUCGGAACGUGCCCAGUUGUGGGGGAUAACUGCUCGAAAGAGCAGCUAAUACCGCAUACGACCUGAGGGUGAAAGCGGGGGAUCGCAAGACCUCGCGCAAUUGGAGCGGCCGAUAUCAGAUUAGGUAGUUGGUGGGGUAAAGGCCUACCAAGCCUACGAUCUGUAGCUGGUCUGAGAGGACGACCAGCCACACUGGGACUGAGACACGGCCCAGACUCCUACGGGAGGCAGCAGUGGGGAAUUUUGGACAAUGGGGGCAACCCUGAUCCAGCCAUGCCGCGUGCGGGAAGAAGGCCUUCGGGUUGUAAACCGCUUUUGUCAGGGAAGAAAAGACUCCUACUAAUACUGGGGGUUCAUGACGGUACCUGAAGAAUAAGCACCGGCUAACUACGUGCCAGCAGCCGCGGUAAUACGUAGGGUGCAAGCGUUAAUCGGAAUUACUGGGCGUAAAGCGUGCGCAGGCGGUUAUGCAAGACAGAUGUGAAAUCCCCGGGCUCAACCUGGGAACUGCAUUUGUGACUGCAUGGCUAGAGUACGGUAGAGGGGGAUGGAAUUCCGCGUGUAGCAGUGAAAUGCGUAGAUAUGCGGAGGAACACC